rnacentral:tRNA from 1 species
UCCCCGGUGGUCCAGUGGCUAAGAUUCUGUGCUUCCAAUGCAGGAGGCUUGGGUUCAAUCCCUGGUUGGGGAA